CAGCAGAUCCUCCUGAACCACUUCAGGAUCCUUCUGGUUCUGGGUUUUUUGACCCAAACCCGCACUGGCUCAUUUGGACUCUGAAGAGCUGUGAUGGGAGCUUCUGCUGGCAGAUACAGGAGGUGAUGGAGUUGGCACCAUCAGAGUCUGGGUGGAUGGUUCUUUCUUGGUUACUUGCUCUUCCUCAAUGUUGUCCUCACCCUCCAGGUCUGAAACCAGGACUGGAGGUUCAGCUUGCUGACUGACUGAGUUUUAUUUCCACAGAGGUGAAACUAGUCUGAACUCUUAUCUCAACAACAUUUAUGUGUCAGCAGGAUCUGCCCAGCACAUGCAGGUUACAACCAACCUCAACUGUAGAUCUGAAGGGGAUAGGGAAAGAGGAAGUGUGUGUGCAGAGUGGAGUGUGCUGUGUGAUAGACAAGGGAGGGGAAAUCCAGCUCUUGUGUAAUCCAGGAAGAGGAGCAGCAAUGUGAACUUUACCCUUAAUUCCUUUGAGAUAGGGCGUUUAGUGUGUGUAUGUGUUUGUAUUCAGUCUGUUUUAAAAUGCUGUCAAGUUGUGAUCUGUUCAAGAAGAUACCAACUUAAAGUGCAGUUUAACUACAAGUCAAUCAGCACACACACACAAACCACAGAUAUAUUAAUUUUUACACCUUAUAUCAUGGUUUUUCCUCUCAUUUACAGAAAACCUGAUCCAGCUGCAGGACUCACCUGUAACACCUGUGAGUGAACACAUCAUGAAAAUCCUGCAGAUCACAUGAAUCCAUGACACAGAUGGACCGAUAACAUGACAUCCAGCAGAAACAGACAAACUAAAGAAAAACAGGCGAGGUGUUUUAAAUGACUCAGUUUGAUGAUUUUAAUUGUUUUCACCAAAAAUCAGAGACUUCACUACAAUCUACAACAGUCAGAAACAUAAAAACAGUCGGACAAAUGCAUGUGAUUAUUAGUAGAGUGAUUGAAAAUCUCAUAACAACAUGUUGAUCUGCCAAAAGUAUUAUUUUAGAUGCCUAUACAAACACACUGAUCCAAAAGAAACAGACAGAAUAUCCAUCGAUAACAUGAACACAAAUAUUCAGCAAACAGAGAAAGCAGUUGGAUUUGGAAAAGGAAAUUAGGUUGUGCUUUUUCAUCUGUCUUUUGUUAGUUUGACGUCACUUUUUCUAUAAUCUCAGACCUUCAAAAUCUGCACCAACUGAAGGUGAUUUGAACAAAUUAUCAUUUUGUUUUGGUGAGACUAAUUCACAAAAAUGUACAAACCAAAACAUUUCAAGAGUUCAAUGAUCUCCUUACAUGUUUUCGGUCUGAUGGACUCAAAAUUCUGUUUAUUUCAGUUCAAUAAACUCAGCAGAGCCUCUAUAGGAUAACCCCAGUCCAGCAUGUAGCGGCUGAGUGAAUGUGGUCUGGACUCUGUGGAGGAGAGUCAUGGUUUUAGAGAUGCUGUAGAAAGACAGAAUACCUGCUUUGUAAUCCAGGUACACUCCUACUCUGGAGGACCAAGGACCUGAGACAUGAUUGCGCACUUUGUUGUGUAUAAAUUCAUACCUGUCUUUAUAACAGUCUAACGUCCAAGAUUUGUCAUUGUCUCCAAAAAAACAAUCCCUUGAGUUCCCUGCUCUGCUGAUAGUCUUGUAUGAGACUGCUACACCAACCUCAUCCUCUCUCCACUCCACCUCCCAGUAACAACGUCCAGUCAGACUCUCUCUACUCAGGACCUGGAUCCAAAAAGUGAAUCUGUCUGGAUGAUCAGGAUAAGACUGUUGUUCUUCUGUAUAUGUUGCUCUUCUGUUUCUAUCAGAUAAUAACAGCUCUCUGUUUGCUGUGUUUGGAUCCAGUGUGAUUCUUUGUGAAUAUCUUAAGAAAUCAGCUCUGGUCUUGGGUUCUGGUUCUGGUGGUUCUGACAGUGAAACAUCCACUUGAGUCACUGCCUGUGAGACCUUUUUCCACGUCUUUGUCAGAAGAUCCUGGAGUUUAUCUCUGACCUCUGACACAGCUGCUGUCACCUCCUCAAAGUAUCUCUGAGGACGGAUGUUGAUCCUGGAUGAGUCUGCAGGUUGACCCGGUCCUGACAGUGAGGGGUAGCUGAGCAGAAACUGGUUGUGGUCCUCUGUGAGUGAGAGCUUCAGCAGAUCAGCGUCUUUCCUCUUCAGCUCAGUGAUCUCCUGCUGCAGCUUCUCCUGAAGCUCUUUGACUCGACUCACUUCACGUUUCUGCUGGGAUCUGACCUGCUGCUCCACCUCAGAGUGACGUUUCCUCAUGAGACGGAUCAGCUGGCUGAAGAUCUCCUGGCUGUGCUCCACAGCUUUAUCAGCAGAGUCGUUGAUAGCCUCCACCUCCUGUUGGAGCAGCUUCACAUCUUUCUCUCUGUUCUGGAUUCUCUGCUGGAUGUUUUCUCGACUCUCCUCCAGAUCUUUCUGCCUCUCAGUCCUUUCUGCUGCAGCUGGGACUGUGUCGUGGCCUUUGUGUUGGUCCCAACAGCAGAGGGAACAGAUAGACUUCUGAUCAGUGCGACAGAACAUCUUCAUCACCUCAUCAUGACGAGAGCAGACAUUCUCCUGGAGAUUCUUGGAGGGCUCCACCAGCUUGUGUUUCUUAAAUGUAGGUGAUUCAUAAUGAGGCUGGAGGUGAAUCUGGCAGAAAGAAGCCAGACAUUGCAGACAGGACUUGACAGCUUUCAGUUUUCUCCCACUGCAGGAAUCACAGGCCACAUCAUCAGGUCCAGCAUCAGAGGGAUCAUCAGGAGCAGCUUGAAGUCUGCUCUUCUUCAGUUCCUCCACUAAACCUGCUAACAUGGUGUUUUUCAUCAGGACAGGCCUCGGUAUGUAGGUCCGUCUGCACUGAGGACAGCUGUAGAUCUUCUUCUCAUCCUCAGUAUCCCAGUGGGACUGAAUACAGAUCAUGCAGAAGCUGUGUCCACAGGAAAGAGUCACCGGAUCCUUCAGUAGAUCCAAACAGAUGGAACAAGAGAAAGAUUCACGGUCCAGCUGAACUCCUGUCUGCGCCAUUUCAACACUCAGUGUCGACUGACUGACUGAACUUCCUUCUUCCCAGAAGUUAACAAGUCUGAGCUCUUAUCUCAACAACAUGUGUGUGUCAGCAGGAUUAGAUCAGCACAUGCUGGUUACACCCAACCUCAUUUGUAGAUCUGAAGGGGAGGGAACAAGGAAGUGUGUGUGCAGAGUGGAGUGUGCUGUGUGAGAGACGAGGGAGGGGAAAUCCGGCUCUAGUUUAACCCAGGAAGAG